rnacentral:rRNA from 1 species
UACGGGGGGAGCAAGCGUUGUUCGGAUUUACUGGGCGUAAAGCGUGCGCAGGCGGUUCGUUAAGUCAGAUGUGAAAGCCCCGGGCUCAACCUGGGAACUGCAUUUGAAACUGGCGGGCUUGAGUGUGGCAGAGGGGGUGGAAUUCCGCGUGUAGCAGUGAAAUGCGCAGAUAUCAGGAGGAACACCGGUGGCGAAGGCGGGUCUCUGGGCCGAUACUGACGCUGAGGAGCGAAAGCGUGGGGAGCGAACAGG